AUGGUAUCAAAUUUAAGUUUUUGCAUAGGUGUGGGAACUAGUCAUUGUUUUCCAAUAUAUCCAAGUAGGAUACUAGCAUGCUACUGGUUAGAGACAAAAUUUGAGAGCUACAAAAAUGAAAGUAAUGAGAAUGGCUAUAUUUUCUGCAUAGUUAUCUCUCUCUCUCUCUCUCAAUAUAAGCUAUGUACAUAUAUGAGUUAUCUCUCUCUCUCUCUCUAGGGACAGUUAGUUAGCAUUUGAAUUAACCUAAUCAUGAAUCUACACUCUAGCAAUGGUUAUAAUUUGCAAAAACUCUCUCUCUCUCUCUCAAAUUUACUCCAGAGGCUUAUUUGCGUAAGUCUCUCUCUCUCUCUCUUUUUGUUGUUGGCAGUAGUGAAAUGAGUGUCUCUCUCUCUCUCUCGUAGGCUAAAACAGGUUAUAAUAUUCCAGCAAGCCCCAAAAGCUGACCACUGAACUGCCCUCUAAGACUAGAGUUUCAUUUGGUCCAUUGUCCCUCCCCGUCCCCAACAAGGAACCAGUUGAUCUCUCUCUCUCUCUCACCCAGAGAAUAUUGUUGUCUCCAUCUUGAACUAAAUCUUCCUCGCAAGGUAUUUGUUAGAGUGUUUGAGGAUGGAUCUCUCUCUCUCUCUCAUCUUGUAAUAACAAGGUCUUCAGACUCUUUCUCUCUCUCUCUCUCAUAAAUGGAUGUAUACUUGGCCUUGGACAAUCUCUCUCUCUCUCUCUAAUAUAUCACCUGGUAGCAACAGUGUGGGUCUCUCUCUCUCUCUCAGACACCAGUAGCUACCAAUUUUACAAAAAUCUCUCUCUCUCUCUCAACAACCACUUUGACUGAGAUCAGUUCGUGUCUCUCUCUCUCUCUCGUUGACAAAGAAUUCAGGGCUUCAGCCCUUUCUCUCUCUCUCUCUCUACCCCAAAAGAUUUUUGCUUCCAUGAUGCUCUCUCUCUCUCUCUCUUACAUAACACGUUAAGAUCAAUCUUUUAAUCUCUCUCUCUCUCUCUGCUAAAACUUUUCAUGACAGUCUAUUAACUCUCUCUCUCUCUCUCAAUCUCUUACUCAGACACUCAAAAUCAUUCUCUCUCUCUCUCUCUCCUAAACUCCUAACUAAAUGUUUCGCUUCUUUCUCUCUCUCUCUCUCACUGCUUCAGUCUCUGAAAUAAACUACGUGCUUUCCUUUGUAAGCGACGUGCU
rnacentral:lncRNA from 1 species